UACGUAGGUGGCAAGCGUUAUCCGGAAUUACUGGGUGUAAAGGGUGUGUAGGCGGGUUUGCAAGUCAGAUGUGAAAAUUAUGGGCUCAACCCAUAACCUGCGUCUGAAACUACAGAUCUUGAGAGUGGGAGAGGUAAACGGAAUUCCCGGUGUAGCGGUGAAAUGCAUAGAUAUUAGGAGGAACACCAGUGGCGAAGGCGACUUACUGGACUGUAACUGACGCUGAGGCAUGAGAGCAUGGGUAGCGAACAGG
rnacentral:rRNA from 1 species